AGGGAAUCUUCCGCAAUGGGCGAAAGCCUGACGGAGCAACGCCGCGUGAGUGAUGAAGGUCUUCGGAUCGUAAAACUCUGUUAUUAGGGAAGAACAAAUGUGUAAGUAACUAUGCACGUCUUGACGGUACCUAAUCAGAAAGCCACGGCUAACUACGUGCCAGCAGCCGCGGUAAUACGUAGGUGGCAAGCGUUAUCCGGAAUUAUUGGGCGUAAAGCGCGCGUAGGCGGUUUUUUUAAGUCUGAUGUGAAAGCCCACGGCUCAACCGUGGAGGGUCAUUGGAAACUGGAAAACUUGAGUGCAGAAGAGGAAAGUGGAAUUCCAUGUGUAGCGGUGAAAUGCGCAGAGAUAUGGAGGAACACCAGUAGCGAAGGCGACUUUCUGGUCUGUAACUGACGCUGAUGUGCGAAAGCGUGGGGAUCAAACAGGAUUAGAUACCCUGGUAGUCCACGCCGUAAACGAUGAGUGCUAAGUGUUAGGGGGUUUCCGCCCCUUAGUGCUGCAGCUAACGCAUUAAGCACUCCGCCUGGGGAGUACGACCGCAAGGUUG
rnacentral:rRNA from 1 species